CACUUUAUUUGAUUUCCUUCGGGACUGAUUAUUUUGUGACUGAGUGGCGGACGGGUGAGUAACGCGUGGGUAACCUGCCUUAUACAGGGGGAUAACAGUUGGAAACGGCUGCUAAUACCGCAUAAGCGCACGGCAUCGCAUGAUGCAGUGUGAAAAACUCCGGUGGUAUAAGAUGGACCCGCGUUGGAUUAGCUAGUUGGUGAGGUAACGGCCCACCAAGGCGACGAUUCAUAGCCGACCUGAGAGGGUGACCGGCCACAUUGGGACUGAGACACGGCCCAAACUCCUACGGGAGGCAGCAGUGGGGAAUAUUGCACAAUGGGCGAAAGCCUGAUGCAGCGACGCCGCGUGAGCGAAGAAGUAUUUCGGUAUGUAAAGCUCUAUCAGCAGGGAAGAUAAUGACGGUACCUGACUAAGAAGCACCGGCUAAAUACGUGCCAGCAGCCGCGGUAAUACGUAUGGUGCAAGCGUUAUCCGGAUUUACUGGGUGUAAAGGGAGCGCAGGCGGUGCGGCAAGUCUGAUGUGAAAGCCCGGGGCUCAACCCCGGUACUGCAUUGGAAACUGUCGUACUAGAGUGUCGGAGGGGUAAGCGGAAUUCCUAGUGUAGCGGUGAAAUGCGUAGAUAUUAGGAGGAACACCAGUGGCGAAGGCGGCUUAC
rnacentral:rRNA from 1 species